AAACUUGUUCCUUAAUAUAAAUACACUUCAAGACUCAUGAGAGAGAUGUCUAAACAUCAAGAUCAAGAGGAAAGUAUCCAAAUCUUUAUUCUUUCAUCUCUCUUGUAAAUAUUUUCUAGGAGUGUAACACCCGUCACUCGACCCAAUCGUCAGGUUUGAGCUGCAGGAUGCUACAUUCGUUGCCGGAGCAACUACUACUUAUUUUGUUACAUUCACAUCAUUUGCAUUCAUUAAUUUUACCUUUUCAAUAAAUUAGGGUCAAACAUCCAUUUGUAUACAUACCUUGCCAUUUACCUUUAAUCACCCGUUGAACCAUCUAGAAUUACAUUGGAUACUCAGGAAUGCUCACGCAUAGUGCACCUUUCCAUAUAAACAUAACAUUUCCUUUUCAAUAGUGCUCACAUGAGCUGUGAAAUGAGUAUGCUUACACGAGCUAUGGGUCGGAAUGUUAGCUACACGAUGCUGCUCACACGAGCUGUGGAGAAUCCACAAUAAAUGCAGGACCUCAGCCAUUAGUAGGACAUUCAAGACCAGCACCCGAAACAUGAAAUCCUUAAUGACAUGUCAUUCGUAUCCUAAGAAUUCUUAAGGUUCAAACAGGAUCAUUUAUCCAUCAAUUAAUCAAAACGCCAACAUAUUUGUAUAAUCAAAUUGAUUUAUACUAACAUAAUAUAACAAAUAACCAAUCAAAUUAUCAUUAAUAAAAUUAUAAUUCAUACGAACUUACCUCAACAAUUAUGGUUGCAAUAACAAAGUUGAAGUCUAGUCCAAAACAUUAGUUUUUCCCUGAUUUAAGUUCGGUUGUUAUUUAUCUUUAACCAAAUAGAUAAUUUCAUUCAAUUAAGUACUUCAAGUAUUCAAUUUAAUCAAUAAUUUACAUUAUCAUAAAAUUAUGAAUUUACCCUCCUAUUUUAACUUUUUCACGAAUUAGUCCUUAAGGUUUAAAACUUGUAAAAAUACUAUUUUUACCCUCCAUACAUGCUAACCGAACCUCUUAGGACCCAUACCAGCCCAUUCAAGACAUCAUCUCAUAAUGUUACCAUGGAAUUUUACUAUUUUAAUUAAUUAAUCCCUAAACACAAUUUUACCAAAAAUCACUUAACAAAACAUGUUCAUUUGACAAUCAAAUUUACUAAUCUAUAAAUUAACAUCACAAAUUCAUCAAUUUCAUUCCUAACAUAUCCCUCAAACUUUAAUAUUUUUACAAAUUAAUCCCCAGGUUAAGUAGUUUAAGCUAAAACAAGCUCAAAAACAUAAAAAUUACUAAAAACGGGGCCCAAAUACAUACCAUGCAUGAAGGAAACUCAAAACCAAAGCUUUCUCCCCUCCUUCAAUGGCUAUUUAUGUGAAAACAAGAAAAAUGAAAAGAAGACGAUAGCUUUGCUUUGUUUAUUUCAUGAUUUUUUAUUAUUUACUCAUUUACCCUUAUAUUAUAACUUAAAAACUAACAUAUAACUUAAAAACAUGUCCAUAUUUGUCCACCAUCAACAUAUAUGGUAUAAUUACCAUAUAAGUUCAUUAAUUCAUCUUAUUAAAGCUUUUCAGUCCACCUAAUUAAUAAAACUCAACUUUUACACCUUUUUCAAUUCAGUCCUUUUUACCUAAUUAACUAUUUAAACUUAAAAAUUUCUUAAUGAAAAUUUUAUACUACCUUAAAUUAACCCUAUACAUAUUAAAUAAAUAUUAAAAUAAUAACUCACUUGUCGAAGUCGUGGUCUCAAAGCCACAGUUUUUGACACCACUGGAAUUGGGCUAUUACACUUUUUUUAAGCAUUAUAGUCAAAUAUCAAUUUAGUUGAUAUACCAUUAUCAACUUUACAUUUUAUAUCCAUACUAACUUGGCUCAGACUCAAACGGAUACACAAAUCCAACCAACACACUAAAUUUGGCACUCAACCUCAUCAGAAAAUUUGAAGUAAAUAUUUUGUGUUC
rnacentral:lncRNA from 1 species